UACGUAGGGUGCAAGCGUUGUCCGGAAUUAUUGGGCGUAAAGAGCUCGUAGGCGGUUCGUCGCGUCGGCUGUGAAAACCCGGAGCUCAACUCCGGGCCUGCAGUCGAUACGGGCGGACUUGAGUGUUGCAGGGAGACUGGAAUUCCUGGUGUAGCGGUGAAAUGCGCAGAUAUCAGGAGGAACACCGGUGGCGAAGGCGGGUCUCUGGGCAACUACUGACGCUGAGGAGCGAAGCGUGGGGAGCGAACAGG
rnacentral:rRNA from 1 species